rnacentral:lncRNA from 1 species
AACUGCUAUUCCUGAAAGGAAAGUAGUUGGAAUGUGCUCUUUCUUUUGCUUUAUUUUCUAAUAAUUACACCAAUCUUUGCUGUACAGAUAAAUGGGGGCACCAAGACGUUUUGAAUGUACCCAAGGUUACAGAGCUGAGGAAGCCAUGUGGCUAGGAUUCAGAUACUGGAAGGCUCUGUUCACUUUCUACUGUGUCUCUACUCUUAGCUCAGCACUGAGGCGCUUUUUGAUUUCUCUAGGUGUCAUCUGAGUUAUUUGGGCCACCUUGAAGGGGUGGCUAUUAAAAUGCUAUCAUCAUCCAAAGGCUAUGUCUCAUCAUUUCCUACUGUGAAAAUAUUUCAACAUUUCCUGCCCACAUGUCCAUGACUCAUGGUUUUUCCACAAUACCAACAAUGCAUUUAUUUCAUGGAUCUGAUCGUUCUACAAAAACAUUUGAUGGCCACCUUACCAUCUGAUUAUGCUCCAGUCCUGAUUUGUUGCUCCAGCUUCAUCUCUGGCCGACACCCUCUCUGACUCCCGGGCAAGCUCCAUAAUUAUACUACCCACCAUUGCUAAAUGAAUCUUUGGCAUUCCCUCUCGCAGUAGUGGCCUUCCUAAAC